rnacentral:rRNA from 1 species
AAUAACUUAACGAAUCGCAUGGCCUUGCGCCGGCGAUGGUUCAUUCAAAUUUCUGCCCUAUCAACUUUCGAUUGUAGGGUAUUGGCCUACAAUGGUAUCAACGGGUAACGGGGAAUUAGGGUUCGAUUCCGGAGAGGGAGCCUGAGAAACGGCUACCACAUCCAAGGAAGGCAGCAGGCGCGCAAAUUACCCAAUCCCGACACGGGGAGGUAGUGACAAUAAAUACUGAUACAGGGCUCUUUUGGGUCUUGUAAUUGGAAUGAGUACAAUUUAAAUCCCUUAACGAGGAACAAUUGGAGGGCAAGUCUGGUGCCAGCAGCCGCGGUAAUUCCAGCUCCAAUAGCGUAUAUUAAAGUUGUUGCAGUUAAAAAGCUCGUAGUUGAACCUUGGGCCUGGCCGGCCGGUCCGCCUCACCGCGUGCACUGGUCCGGCCGGACCUUUCCUUCUGGAGAACCGCAUGCCCUUCACUGGGUGUGUCGGGGAACCAGGACUUUUACUUUGAAAAAAUUAGAGUGUUCAAAGCAGGCCUUUGCUCGAAUACAUUAGCAUGGAAUAAUAGAAUAGGACGUGCGGUCCUAUUUUGUUGGUUUCUAGGACCGCCGUAAUGAUUAAUAGGGAUAGUCGGGGGCAUCCGUAUUCCGUUGUCAGAGGUGAAAUUCUUGGAUUUACGGAAGACGAACUACUGCGAAAGCAUUUGCCAAAGAUGUUUUCAUUAAUCAGUGAACGAAAGUUAGGGGAUCGAAGACGAUCAGAUACCGUCGUAGUCUUAACCGUAAACGAUGCCGACUAGGGAUCGGGCGAUGUUAUUAUUUUGACUCGCUCGGCACCUUACGAGAAAUCAAAG